rnacentral:rRNA from 1 species
GUUUGAUUCUGGCUCAGAACGAACGCUGGCGGCGUGGAUAAGACAUGCAAGUCGGACGCUAGAUUGUGUGUAGCAAUACUCGCAGUCUGGAGUGGCGUAAGGGUGCGUAACACGUGGGUAAUUUGCCUGGAAGCCCGGGAUAACUCCGAGAAAUCGGAGCUAAUACCGGAUGCGAUCAGGGGCUGGCAUCAGCUCCUGCUCAAAGUCGGGGACCGCAAGGCCUGACACUACCAGAUAAGCCCGCGGCCUAUCAGCUAGUUGGCGGGGUAACGGCCCACCAAGGCUAAGACGGGUAGCUGGUCUGAGAGGACGACCCAGCCACACUGGAACUGAGACACGGUCCAGACACCUACGGGUGGCAGCAGUCGAGAAUUUUUUCACGUAAAUGGGGGAAACCCUGAUGGAG